rnacentral:rRNA from 1 species
CCCUUAGAUGUUCUGGGCCGCACGCGCGCUACACUGACGAAUGCAACGAGCUUAUAACCUUGGCCGAAAGGUCUGGUAAUCUCCAAAUUUCGUCGUGAUGGGGAUAGAUUAUUGCAAUUAUUAAUCUUCAACGAGGAAUGCCUAGUAAGCGCAAGUCAUCAGCUUGCGUUGAUUACGUCCCUGCCCUUUGUACACACCGCCCGUCGCUCCUACCGAUUGAAUGGUCCGGUGAAGCGUUCGGACCGUGGCCUUUGGACGGUUCGCCGUCUGUUGGCUGCGGGAAGUUCGUUAAACCUUAUCAUUUAGAGGAAGGAGAAGUCGUAACA